rnacentral:lncRNA from 1 species
UCAAAAAGUUACUUAAACUUUUAUAUCAUGCUCUUGGUGCUUGUUCUAAAUUAAAUAGUGCUUUAUCAUAUCUGUAAUGAAUAUUUUUCAAAUAUAGGUGGUAUUUAUUUUUUUUUCGUUUUUACUUUCUUAUGCUCUAUACUCUAUUUGUUCCCUAUCCGGUGGAGUUGGAAGGGACACGAGGUACUACCACUAGCCUCCCUCUUGUGCCGUCCCUAAUAUACCCUACACCGAAUAGUUGGGUCAAAUAG